CCGCCGCCGCCACCACCACCAGCGCCCGGGCGGGCCUCGCGCGCCUCGGGCGCGGCUCCGCAGUGAGCCCACCAAGAAGGAAGCGGCUGGACAAAUCAGGACGCAAACCCUCGUCAGCUUUGGAACACAAAUAUUUGCCAGUGAAGAAAACAUUCCCUCAUCAGUCAAAACCCGGACAGUCUGGCACACACGUCUGCAGCUGCCUGAGGGAGCUUCUACUGUGGGAGGGGCCAGAUGGCCCACAGCUCCCCCUCCUCCCUGAACACUGCAGGCUCCUUCUCUUCCUACUUCAUUUUGAAGAUAAAGAGACAGGGGUUCAGAGUUGUCACUUGCCCUUGGUCACAUAGCAUCCAGAGUGACCUUUGAUUUCUUCUCUUCGAGCAUAUCUGUCUUUUCUCUUUUGUUUUUAUUUUUUUUUAAUAGAGAUGGGGUCUUGGCAUGUUGCCUAGGCUGAUCUCAAACUCCUGGCCUCAAGUGAUCCUUCUGCCUCGGCCUCCCAAAGUGCUGGGAUUACAGGCGUGCCUGGCCAAGAGUAUGUGUCUUCACACAUGAAAGUAACUCAGCGAAAACUCCAGAUCUGUAAAUAACAACUUCUAAGGCAGAUACACAACAGACACAGCUUUGUGAGCAGGCCUGUGAGCUUUACGGCUUUUUUUCACCUUCCCAGUGACCCUCUAUGGGGCUUCAGGGAGGUUGGAGAGGAGAGCAUCCGGUUAGCUGGGGCGGGGGCAGGGGGUGCUUUCUGCUGGAAUUCCAAACCCUGGAAUCCUCAUGUCUCC
rnacentral:lncRNA from 1 species